AUGUUUGAUGAAGUCUACACACUUUUUCGCGAGAUCGAAAAGGGUGUGACCUUGAUCAGCUUCUUGUUCCCAUAUCUCCCAACUCCAGCAAACUGGCAGCGUGAUAGGGCGCGUAUAAGGCUAACAGAGAUCCUCUCUAAUGUUGUCGAAUCCCGUAAGAGCUCCGGGCGAGUGGAGGAGGACACGCUGCAGAAACUGAUUGACUCCAAGUACAAAGAUGGUCGCCCUACAACAGUAGAAGAGGUAGUCGGGUUGAUCAUUGGCUUGCUGUUUGCUGGAAAACACACCAGCUCUCAUACUAGUACUUGGACUGGAGCUUGUCUUCUCAGCCAUCCAGCCUUCUUAAGAGCUGCCAUUGAGGAGCAACAUCAAGUCGCCAAGAAAUACAAGGACGGACUAGAAUACAAUGCCUUCUUAGAGAUGGAUACGCUGCAUAAUUGCAUCAAGGAGGCGCUGCGGAAGAACCCUGCGACACCACUGCUGGUUCGCAGGGUCCAUAAGCGCUUCACGGUGCAGACGAAAGAAGGCCAACAAUAUGACAUCCAGCAGGACUACAUCGUAGCAACUCCUACUAUAGUAAACAACAAUAUCCCUUACAUUUAUACGGACCCUCAGGUGUAUGAUCCAAAUCGGUUUGGCCCCGAAAGAAGAGAGGACAAAGUGGGUGGCAAGUUCUCUUACACAUCAUUUGGUGGUGGAAGGCACGUUUGCACCGGAGAGGCUUAUGCUUACAUGCAACUCAAAGUGAUAUGGAGCCAUUUGCUGAGGAACUUUGAUCUCGAAUUGGUCUCUCCCUUCCCUAACACAGACUGGAGCAAGUUCUUGCCAGAUCCACAGGGAAAAUUACUCGUGAGAUAUACGAGAAAUGGAAUUUAA
rnacentral:rRNA from 1 species